AUUGAACGCUGGCGGCAGGCCUAACACAUGCAAGUCGAGCGGAUGACGGGAGCUCGCCCCUUGAUUCAGCGGCGGACGGGUGAGUAAUGCCUAGGAAUCUGCCUGGUAGUGGGGGACAACGUUUCGAAAGGAACGCUAAUACCGCAUUCGUCCUACGGGAGUAAGCAGGGCAACUUGCGCCGAAUGAUCGGUCUGCGUCCCAUCAGCUAGUUGGUGAGGUAACGGCUCGCCAAGGCGACGACGGGUAGCUGGUCUGAGAGGAUGAUCAGACACGCUGGAACUGAGACACGGUCCAGACUCAUACGGGAGGCAGCAGUGGGGAAUUUUGCGCAAUGGACGAGAGUCUGACGAAGCAACGCCGCGUGGGUGAUGAAGGUCUUCGGACUGUAAAACCCUGUCGUCAGGGACGAAGGUGCUCGUGUUAAUAGCGCGAGUGCUUGACGGUACCUGGAGAGGAAGCCCCGGCUAACUCUGUGCCAGCCGCCGCCGUAAUAC
rnacentral:rRNA from 1 species